CACAUUUCACACACCAAAAUGCAACAUUCUCACCCCUAGUAAUUUCCCGGUUUAAUGACAUGAAGGCCCAAAAUAUCCAUGGGCCUCAUCUAUCUAAUGAUAGAUUUCCUGACACAAGAAUCGAAUUCGAGCCCGCUCAAAUUCUAAACCGUUCGCUAUAAAAAAUCUCUCACUAUUUUCUGGCACCACACACACACACUGAGAGAGAGAGAGAGAGAGAGAGAGAGAGAGAGAGAGAGAAGCAUGAAGAUAUUUGGCAAAUACAUAUUCCCGCGGCAAAUUAUACUCUUUGGUUCGGGGGUUCUGUUCUUGGCAUCAACGACGUACGACGUGCACAGAUCCAUCAAGAACAACGAAACGCCGACGUCCAAGGAGCAAAUCGAAGGGCUGGAAGAUUACAUCAGGUCCGUCCGUCGAUCUCCUUGAUUGAAGGUUCAGAACUCGCCACGUCCGUCUUCGUACCAAAAUAAUCUGCUGCUACGUACCGAAUCUUGUCCAGGUCCCAAAUUCAUGAAAUUGCUCAAUUUUACAGUACGACUUUGGAAACGAUUUACUAUGGGGUUAAAAAACAAUGAAGAAGAGGGUGGAAAUGCAAAGAAGAAGACGCUUCUCUUGUUGUAUAUCCUGUGAAUCACUCGUAUGAUGAGUGGUAUAUAUGUUGUUGCCUAUCUAUCAGCUUGUUUGAUUCUAUCGAAUUUUGGAUUAGAGUUUUAAGCAGGUUUAUUGGUUGUUAGAAA